rnacentral:rRNA from 1 species
UACGUAGGGUGCGAGCGUUGUCCGGAAUUAUUGGGCGUAAAGAGCUCGUAGGCGGUGUGUCACGUCGAUCGUGAAAACUUACAGCUUAACUGUGAGCGUGCGGUCGAUACGGGCAUCACUGGAGUUCGGCAGGGGAGACUGGAAUUCCUGGUGUAGCGGUGAAAUGCGCAGAUAUCAGGAGGAACACCGGUGGCGAAGGCGGGUCUCUGGGCCGAUACUGACGCUGAGGAGCGAAAGCGUGGGGAGCGAACAGGA